rnacentral:rRNA from 1 species
AUACGGAGGGUGCAAGCGUUAAUCGGAAUUACUGGGCGUAAAGCGCGCGUAGGCGGUUUGAUAAGUCGGAUGUGAAAUCCCCGGGCUCAACCUGGGAAUUGCAUUCGAUACUGUCAGGCUAGAGUGUGGUAGAGGAAAGUGGAAUUUCCGGUGUAGCGGUGAAAUGCGUAGAUAUCGGAAGGAACACCAGUGGCGAAGGCGGCUUCCUGGACCAACUCUGACGCUGAGGUGCGAAAGCGUGGGGAGCAAACAGGAUUAGAAACCCUAGUAGUCC